ensembl:lncRNA
CGACUUUCUGGUUAAAUGGUGGAUUUUCGAAGAGAAAAUGUGUGAUUUUGGUUUACAUGUGAGCUUUUUGUCGAGGAAAUGAGUGAUUUUCAGGUUAAAUGGGGGAUUCUUGUAGCGAAAGCGUUUGAUUUGGGGGUGAAAUGAGGGAGUUUUGAAGAGAAAAUGAGUGAUUUUCACGUUAAAGGGUGAUUUUCCAAGAGAAAAUGCGUGAUUUUCGGGAUUAAUGGGGGAUUCUCGAAGAGAAAAUGGGUGAUUUUGGGGUUCAAUGGGGUAUUUUUUCCAAGAGAAAGUGCAUGAUUUUCGGGUUAAAUGGGGGAUUUCCGAAGAGAAAUUGUGUUUUCAUCAGGUUAAAUGGGGGAUUCUCAAAGAGAAAAUGCAUGAUUUUGGGGGUAAAUGCGGGAUUUUCCAAGUGAAUAUGCGUGAUUUGGGGUUAAAUGGGGGGAUUUUGGAAGCGAAAAUGCAUGUUGUUUGAGAUAAACAGGGGAUUUUUGUAGAGCGAAAGCAUGAUUUGGGG